rnacentral:rRNA from 1 species
GUUGUAUGGUUAAGUGACUAAGCGUACACGGUGGAUGCCUUGGCAGUCAGAGGCGAUGAAAGACGUAUUAACUUGCGAUAAGCCCAGAUUAGGUAGUAAAAACCAUUUGAGUCUGGGAUUUCUGAAUGGGGAAACCCACGUGCAUAAGCACGUAUC